GCAGAUAAGAACCAUUCGGCUCAUCUAGUCUGCCCAAUUUUCUAAAUACUUUCAUUAGUCCCUGGCCUUAUCUUAUAGUUAGGAUAGCCUUAUGCCUAUCCCACGCAUGCUUAAACUCCUUUACUGUGUUAACCUCUACCACUUCAGCUUGAAGGCUAUUCCAUGCAUCCACUACCCUCUCAGUAAAGUAAUACUUCCUGAUAUUAUUUUUAAACCUUUGUCCCUCUAAUUUAAGACUAUGUCCUCUUGUUGUGGUAGUUUUUCUUCUUUUAAAUAUAGUAUCUUCCUUUACUGUGUUGAUUACCUUUAUGUAUUUAAAAGUUUCUAUCAUAUCCCCCCUGUCUUGUAUUUCCUCCAAGCAGUUGUGUAGCAAAGGGGGGGAAGGGGGGUGCCCACCCCGGGUGGCACUUUUUGGGGGGUGGCAAGUUUCAGACAGAAAAAUAAUUUCUC